rnacentral:lncRNA from 1 species
CUUGAAAGGUUUAGGAACGUGUUCAUACUAUUCAGAAUAUUAUUCUUUAUGUUCUUUAACUACAACUGAGGAGCCACUAUCCCAAAGGAUCUAAUUUUACAAAAUGACCCACUGGCCCCAUCCAUUUCACCAUGACACCAAGACCAACAUUAAAACCAACUAAAACACUUCACACCAACACCACAACAGCUGCUCCAGGCUUCCUGCCCUCUUUCCUGGACAGGAUUCCUUUGCCAAGAUGGGCCAUCUAUGCUAUAUUUGCUGCCGUCAUCCUGCUUAUUCUUAUCUUUGUGAUAUGCUGCUGUGUAAAAUGCUGCUGCAAAGGGAAAAAGAAGAGAAAGAAGAAGCUGGACCAGAAGAUCAGUAUGAAAGGGAUCUCAGGAACUACAACCGCA